rnacentral:rRNA from 1 species
CCUACGGGAGGCAGCAGUGGGGAAUCUUGCGCAAUGGCCGAGAGGCUGACGCAGCGACGCCGCGUGGGGGAUGAAGCAUUUCGGUGUGUAAACCCCUGUUGCUCGGGACGAACGACCCUUUUCGAGGGGUGUGACGGUACCGAGUGAGGAAGCACCGGCUAACUCCGUGCCAGCAGCCGCGGUAAUACGGAGGGUGCAAGCGUUGUCCGGAAUCACUGGGCGUAAAGGGCGCGUAGGUGGUUAGAUGCGCCGGUGGUGAAAGCGCAGGGCUCAACCCUGCGUCGGCCAUCGGGACGGUCUGACUGGAGCACUGUAGAGGCAGGUGGAAUUCCGGGUGUAGCGGUGGAAUGCGUAGAGAUCCGGAAGAACACCGGUGGCGAAGGCGGCCUGCUGGGCAGUUGCUGACACUGAGGCGCGACAGCGUGGGGAGCAAACAGGAUUAGAUACCCUGGUAGUCCACGCCGUAAACGAUGGGCACUAGGUGCUUGGGGGAGCGACCCCCGUGAGUGCCGACGCUAACGCAUUAAGUGCCCCGCCUGGGGAGUACGACCGCAAGGUUGAAACUCAAUGAAUUGACGG